GUGCUCGGCAGCACAUAGACUAAAAUUGGAACAACACAGAGAAGAUUGGCAUGGUCCCUGCACAAGGAUGACACGCAAAUUCGUCAAGUGUUUCAUGUUUUU